ensembl:snoRNA LOC120102683 small nucleolar RNA SNORA17
ACUGCUCCUAGAAGUGUUGCAGGUGUAGCUGCUGUGUCACAUGUAUGUCAGUAAUUGGCAGGAGAGAGGCUAUGUCUAUUCACAAUGUUCUGACCUAGGAACAUCUGAAUAAUUAGUAGCUCAGCACU